rnacentral:misc_RNA from 1 species
ACGGUCACCGCUCCGCAAUACGAGCUCAGAUUUAAUAAGCGUCUUAGAUUGCGAUCGGCGACGAGGAACCGGUAGAUCUGGAAGAAAGAAGCAAAGGAGAUCCCAAUGAGAGAUCGCGAUCACUCGGCCGGGAACCCGAGUAACCCUGAUCGAAAUUUCUGACCAGCGAAUUCGAGCUGUAUCCGGACCCGGCCUGAUAGUAGUACUUGUGCAGCCUGAUGUCGUGCAUGAUGGGACGGGCGAUAACCACCGGAUAAUUUGUUCUGAGAUCGCGCGAGAUACCACGUCGACGUGGACGGGGGGAUGAUCGAAAGGGAUGGCCGAUGUGCCGCUCCAACGAAUAUUUGACAGGAGACGACGGUGCUCCGGAAGAUUGGCACGCAUCGCGAUCGAUUGGCGAACAAAUGACACGGCAAAUCGGCAAUAUUGCUCUGACGUCGAUCGAACAACCGCGCGACAAUUUGAUGCCCCGUCUGCUGGGGGUGGCAACGACGUUAUCGCCACGAGUAAUCGCGUAUUCCCCGAGCAGCACGAUCGAAGGUGCUACUAUCGAUUUUUCGAGGCCCGAAAGUAAUUUUAAGGAAAGUUAAAGAGAACAUUUUAGUUGAUACAUGCACAUGAAUCAGAAAGUCAUCAGAUAUCUGAAUUAAAUUCGAGGUUUCUGGAUGCGAUGCUGCUUGCUGGAUUGCGGAUAUUUUCUUAUCGAUGAUUGCAGUCGCAGACGAUUACAAUCUCAGUCUUCAAUUUAGACCCUAAUUACAGAGCAGUGACUGUCGUUACGGUAAUCUCCGCAAUGAUCAUUGUCGUCUGUUCGGUAGCAGCGAGCUCAGUAUCAUUCCAGAGUGACUUGAAUUAAGAACACGGAAAUAUAAUUAAUGAUGUAAUUAAUAAUAUAGAACGGGAAAAGUGCGAGAAAAUAUCUCAUGUCUCUGGACUGCGCAAUAUUUCUUUCGUUGUCUUGCUAUUUAAUAGAAAAGUUACAUUUCAAAGUACUUAAAGCUUUCUUUUAUAGUCGAUAUAAGCAGUGAUUUUUCUUGUAUAAAACCAGAUUGGCCGAUGCUCUUUUGAGGGAGAAAGAUGUAAAAGUAGAAGAUCCUUGAAACUUUUGUGUUUCACGGACCAUCGUUCGCGGCGCCAAUCGAGUAUCAGUCAAGAGAGCCUGACACGCUUCGGUAUAAUUAAUUUUCGUGCCCCUCCCCAUAAUAUCGUAUUUUCCUCGUAUUUCUCCCCGUUUCUUCUUCGUAUUUACACGAGAGUUACCCCUCGCGUUUUCAAGUUUGGACAUAGUUCGUGUCAGCCGCGUUCGUUACGUGUCAUUAGGAUCCUCGUGAAGGGUUUGUUUAGUUUUGCGUGCACCAAUAUGCCACCCUGCCACCCCUCGUGCCUGACGGUUUUCUGGCGUAAUUUAUAACCCAUGGCUCUUUCUAUACCGUGUGUAUAUACGAUAACACGAAAUGGAUGCUUAUGUGUGUUAUUGAGUUAUAAAAGCGGGUCGUUAGAUAGAAGUGUUUUCUGUGAUUGAGUUGGCUGUCGCCUUGAUCAUCAAAUUAACGCCAAGGCCAGAUUCGAUGCGAAGAUAUUUGAGGAGUAAGGAGUGUUUGUGAAACACGGAUAAGCAUUGCAUGUCACAAACGUCACGGUCGCGUCUGAAAUAUUAAUACAACAGUAAACCAUCGGGAACGGCGAUGUAGUUGCACGUAAAAGUUACUUCUAAUUCAGCGCAAUUGAAUCUCAGAUCGACGCGAGGCGAAAAGUGCUCGAAGUAUCGCGAUGCCAACACUGCUUGCUUUCUUACUUGCUUGAGACAAAAAGAGUGAGGAGAACAUCGUACGGUUUUGGUCACAAUUAAAUGUCAGUGUCCUCAAUUACAUGUCGCAAUAUGUCGCACGUGUCAAAUAUAUGUUGCAAAUAGAAAAUAUAUUUUGAGAACUAGAUCCUGACUAGGUCCUCCGGAAUAUAGGAUACGUGCUCCGGAAUAUAGGAUAGGCGACGGAAUUAUCAAGAAUCAUAGCAAGCGCAGCUGCAAAAAUAACAUGUUAUUUUCGAUUGCUUUCCUCAUCGAGCGCGCUAGAUUCACUUGUUAGUUGCAAUUACUAUAACACAUUUAUUAUCGUAGCGGAGAGAGAAUUGCGGUUUCUUGAAAUUUUAAGUGUUCUCCACAAAAAACGUUAUAUUUACAUACAUGCGUCUACCAGAAAUACAAUGAUUGAACUGACACAAUUUUUAUCUUGCUUUAUGUCAUUUAUGUAUCAGAAGGAGCACGUUGGAGCUCACGAUCGUCGGAUUUGCCGAAAUUUCAAACUGUUGUAUUGUCCAAGUACUGAAGUAUCGCGAAGCCAUCACGAAUUAUUCGAGAAGCAGAAAUGAGGAACCUGUAAAAAAAUAUGUAAUUAAAAUCCAUGCGCGAAUGCGUCGCGAGCGGGGGAAAUCAGAGCGCAGAAACGAGAAAAUUACCGAGACAGACGGAAAGGGAGAGGACGCAGUGGCUGACAGCUGGCUGGAGGAGGACAAAUGCAUGAAGAACAAAAGGAUGUCGCGCGGGUAGAAGAAGCGUGGGAGAGAGAUUAUAAAAAAAUGAAGGGGGAAAAAAGAAAACGCGACAGGCGGCCGCGCCGAAAAAAAGCCAGAGUGAAGGGUGACAUGCUGCGCGAGAGCUGGAAGACUUACGUGAAGUUCAUGCAGCUGCGAAACACGUGAGCAGGGUGGAGAACGAAAUGCGUUAUCCUGCCGACAUUGUUAAAAAAUUCCAGCUUCGGCAUUUCGAGAGGUCGUAAUUCCAUGAAACCAAAUUUUCCACCUGCAAAAAGGAGCAAAAAGCUGACGACACAUGCGAUCACUUGAGGACCCUUGCGGUUCAGUCUGAAUCGUCUUUCAGCUUCGGAUCAGCUUAAAGUCUUCGACAUUCUUGUCAAACUGUUUGAUCCUAUAAUCGAGGGGCAUGCUGAUUUCAAGACCGACAAAUUCGCCUGAGGCUGAAGAUUGGACCGAAAAGAGAAACCCGAGUAAUCUUGAGCUCCAACGAGAGAAGCAUCCAACACGGAUUCGUCGUGCAGGGUCGAUCAACAAUUAUCCGUUGAAUCUCGCUCAUGGCUGGAUCGGAACGGAAGGUGCAGGAAGCUUUAACGUCGUUAAAGGACCAGCAUCAAAAGGACCUAUUACACGCUUGGAGCAUUAGACAAAUAGACCAAGGACGGCGACAAUUACCGAACGAUCAUUCCUCGCGUUCGAGAAAAGACGACGGAUUUCUCCACAAAAGCGGCGAACGUUGCAGAUUUUGGUCAGCGGAUAAUGCAAUAACAAGCGCGGAGAUCUGCAGUAAUGCCGAGGGCAGCAUGCACCGUAAUAAAAAGCAGUCGAUUGAAAAGAGAGAACGGCUCCUUUGAAAAAUACUCCUGACGUAAAAAGAUUGCCGUCCGCAUCACCUCCGUUCUCAUCUCCAGAGGUAGAGGAAGAGAGAUAUUUUCUAACGGGGAAGAGAAACUACUUCUCUCUCUCUCCUUUCUCGUUUGGCGCAACCGGAAGGUGGAUCUCACGCGUCUGAUAUCGAUGCGAUGCAGGGCGGCAGGCACGCGGCGGUCUACGGGAGACUCGUUAAAGCUGGUCCAAGGAAUCGGGAAGAAAUUGGAAUUCCUGUGCGGCAGCGGAGAGACGCGGCUUCCUCGCAUUCUGCAGCGCGAAUCUUGGCACGACCAUCCGUGUCCCGGCGCACGUUCGCCGUCGUUCGAAAUUGAGCGCGGAUUAUCGGCGGUUCGUGGGAAUCGCGGCCGUGCAACCGGGCUUCUCCAGAUUCUGAGAGGGAGCACGGGGCGAGGAUGACGUUUACGGCAUCGACAGCAGACGGCGAUUGGAAUUGACGGAACGAGAAACAUCUUACAGAUUGAGAAAUAGUGUUAAGAAACUGAGAGAUCAGACUGGACAAGCAACUGAGAAGAAAAAAUAUACAUAUCGUGAUCUCCGUCUUGGACAUGAAUAAUUCUCUUUCGUCGGUUGCGCUUGCUGUGAGCUCAUGUAUUCUACAAAUAUACGAUGCAAAUUAUAUCUGUAGUAGCGAAUUUCAUUUAACAUUCAUUGCAGUAUUCAAUUCGUCGAGAUUGCGUGUAACAUUACAUUUCUCGCGACGCGGCGAUUAUCGUCGCGAGAAAAAAUCAACUAAUAUUCCUGCGAGAUGAUGUCGCGACGAUAAACGGAAAAGAGUUACAAAUGUUUGUGAUGGACAAAUGUUGGAAUAACACACGCCGAUGUGUGUAACUGUUUGCACAGUAAAAGGUCGUUUCAUAACGAUGGUACGUCCGACGCCACCGAAACCUGCGAUCGAUCGGUUUCUUUCCGCCGUGUUCCACCUCCCACCUCUGGAAUAAAAUACUUUAUCUGAUACGUCCUUCUUUUAUUCCACGUCACGUUUUUUUCUGACACAUCGUUCUCCUUCCCUGCUUUCCUCUCUUUUCAGGAUGCGUCUCGUCGCGCCCUUACGUACGCACGUGAAAAUUGGGAACGUUUAGAAUUGCGCCUCGAUUCCCUCAUGCGCUCGCGUGCAUUAUCGCCGACGAAAAUCGCUGAUGCUUACGUGCAAUCGCAUCUUCUUGUUGCGGCAGAACGCGCCGCGGUCUCGGGCGCGGAUUUAACAUCGACUCGCUUCCAUUCACUUCAACUUGCUGCUCCACUAACUCAUUCCCGGUCGCCAUUGGGAGGCAGUUACCUCCGCAUUCCAUUCUCCCUCUUUCUCGUGCGCGCAAAUUUUUAAUCUUGAUCCGAUUCACUUCGCGGUAUCGCUCGACUGGCAAGCCGAGCAAAAAUCAAUCUUGCAUCUGGCGAAACGAUUGAUUAACGCCAUUUAUGACUAGCGACGCGACCGGCGACGCGGACACCUUCUGAGGAAUCACCACGGCUGGAAUUUGUUAUAUAACAUCGAAUUUCUAAAUAUUACUGUAUUACCCAUAGUUGAUCUCGUAAUACGAUAUAUUCACGCGUGUUUAUCACAUUUCCAUAAUUUGUACACUGAUAAUUGCUAACCGCCGGCUCUACUUGAUUAUCGGUAAAUUUUAACAAUUUACUCGUGGUUGUAGCACGGCAAUGUUGUAUUUACUCGGAUUACAGUGACAUUAUUGCACGCUCAAAUGCACACACCACACGCAUUGUAAUUUAGAUACACCUGACAUUCGAUAUCGUUACGUUUCAGGUAUAGAUACGCGCUCACAAUGGCUCGCAAUACUUUGAUUGUCUUAAAAUGACGUUUAAUCGCUUAUCUCGAGCGAUGGUACACAAUGGUGAUCAUAUCGUUAAAUACAGCAGCGGCAAGAGCAACAAUAGCUGAGUCAGAGAAACGGCAGUGGCGCAACACGGGCAUGGCGUACUCCUCGUCCGUUGAUCGUUUCUCAUCUGAAACCUUCGGUUUGACAGGAGCGAAUCCUGCACGGUUCCUGCAUAGAAUAACAUACAUCAGCAUACAGCGGAUAAAAUCUCGCAAUUAUCAGGAUAACGUUCCGCUAAUCACUUAUAACUUCAAAUUGAAUCUUGACGAGAGGCGAGAAUUAUUCUGCGUUAAAACAAUUAUUUUUCUAGUCAGUUUCCGUCCGAUAUAUUUGACACGAAAAAAAUGCUUGUCUCAUCGAAGAUAUUAUGCUAUAUAUUAUAUAUAUGUUUAUUUAGGAGAUUAUUCCCGGCAGCCGCGAUACGUGCGAAGAAUGAGAAGGUCCGAAUUAUUGCGGUGGAUACGGCCGAUAUGUCCCUCUCGGUGAUAUUAAUCCAUCCAUCAUUCUUACGUCAGGUUCUUAGUGUUCACAAGAGGAUGAAUAAUCGCCAUACACCGCGUGACAUAGUGUCGAUCGUUCAAAAGAAAAAAAAAGUAAAAGCGCGUUAAGAAAGGAAUGUCCGUCGUUCUUUUUGUAUUCGGCAGAAAAGCGAGAUCACUCGGCAUUAAUUGCAGUUUCGUCGUCAUUUCGGGGAUGAAACUGUCAGCCGGGGAUGAACACGAAAACGCUGACGCGCAUUGACGCGCCUUAACUCAGUUUCAUCCGCCUGACUAAUGCGAUCAGUCUGGAGGAGGAUACGUGAUAACGAAGGAUGGCAACUUUGUCGUCCCCGUCAUCCGAUCGCGUACACUGCAAUGCAGAUGCAUUUUGAUCGGCGCGCGCGGACAGCGAGACAAAGGGACAACGAGGUGAAUCAUGUACGACGUGCCAAGAUACCCUGGAUCCACUCUCGUUGUAAUUAAUACAGCGAACUCCGACAGAGCGUUACAAAAUAUCUCUCGUCUGGAAGAGCGCGGAGAAGUCUCGCGUGUGUAUCGACCCGGCGUGUUCAUCGUCACGUCAUUUCCACCGCCUUUAAUCAGUCCUUUCUUUCAGAAAUGCUGCGUGGCAUCCCGUAAUUCAUCCGACAAUGCGUGAACGCGAAUAUAGAAGAAAAAAAAAGAAAAAGAUAAGAAUAUGUAUAUUAUAUAUAUUUUUUAUUGCAUAUAUAAGACUAAUUACACGAAUACGGAUCGGAAAACGGGUCACCGGGCAUUAAUGGCGAGACAAAGAUUUCCCACUUUCGCCGACAAAGGUAAUCUUCUUACACAAAAGUGCCCCCGGCAUCCGAGGCUCAGGAACACCGAUAAAGAUAAACGAGCUUUCGUGCUUAGGGAUUAACCGAGUGGUCGCGUGUCUCGUAACGAUCGAUGAAGCGGCGGAAUCGACGGACAGGAGUAGCCGGCAGCUCGUUCAAGUGCCCGCUCGCUAAGUAAGUAGUAACAGACGUGCAUGGCCGGGCAACGUAAGGACAGUGCGGCGUGAUGGCUCUCCCGUGCCAUUACUCGAGAUUUGCGAGCAAACCAGCGGCUGCUGAGUUUUACAAAAUAUCGGCGCGGUCAGGCUGACGUUAACGUUAACGUUAUUGCUAAACUUUUUGCGAGGAGUUCCGCCAAUAUUUAAUCGCUGAAACUGCCGGAUAAUAAAAACGCACGUUUGCAAAAGGCGCGGAAAAAUCGGUACGCAAAUGUUAUAUUAUGUGACGGUAUCACGCUUUAUAUGUGCACAGGUACAUGGAGCUAUUACACGCACGUUGUAUUUAAUAUUUAAUUUGAAAUUGGACGAAUGCUCUAUGCAAAUCACAAAUCAGCAUGUCCAUUUGUUAGUAUUCUUUUGCUACUGAAAACGAUAUUAGUUUCGCGGUUGCGCCCUUUCCGAUAUUACGAGUUAUUUUAUUAAAACGCCAUAAUUUUUUAUAUUUGCAUGAUUACAUGCAACUCUUUUGUCACUAAAAAUUGAUGCACUAUCUAUUUUAUUACAUACAUAAUUUACUUUUUUAGUGUUUUUCUGCGAUAGAGAUCAUAUCAAGCUUCUAAAAGCUUGAUUCGAGUGAUCCGUAGUUUUCGUAUCAAAAAGUCGAACCAGAUCGAUACGCGAGAUCACGGUGAUCACGUAAUCGCGACAUUCAUUAUGCAGCAACUUCAGUAUGUUCCGCACGACUUGAAUAGUGUACGACGCACUUUGCCAUCAAUUUCCAUCGCGUGCUUUAUAUUUUAACUAUCGGAGCGUAAAUUGCACACGCGCGAAUCUUGCGAACCGGUUGCGGUAUUCGGCAUGUCGAUUUAAUUAGGUAUUGCGAAGAUACGAGUGCGUGUAAAUGUGCGGUUCGCGUACCUAACCCCAAUAGCGGCCAUUUCGAGCGUCCUCAUUGUCGCGGUCACCUGUAUCGCAUGUAGCGUCAAUAGAUCCAACGUCAGAGAUCAGAGAAGUUAUGGCGAGUUCGCGAUAUUGGAGGAAGCUGAUCG